UACGAAGGGGGCUAGCGUUGUUCGGAAUUACUGGGCGUAAAGCGCACGCAGGCGGAUUGAUAAGUCGGGGGUGAAAUCCCGGGGCUCAACCUCGGAAUUGCCUUCGAUACUGUUAGUCUUGAGUCCGGGAGAGGUGAGUGGAAUUCCUAGUGUAGAGGUGAAAUUCGUAGAUAUUCGGAGGAACACCAGUGGCGAAGGCGGCUCACUGGUCCAUUACUGACGCUGAGGUGCGAAAGCGUGGGGAGCAAACAGG
rnacentral:rRNA from 1 species